UACAGAGGUCUCGAGCGUUGUUCGGAUUCAUUGGGCGUAAAGGGCGCGUAGGCGGCGGGGUAAGUCUGGUGUGAAAUCUCGGAGCUCAACUCAGAAAUUGCACUGGAUACUGCUCUGCUAGAGGGCUGGAGAGGAGAUCGGAAUUCACGGUGUAGCAGUGAAAUGCGUAGAUAUCGUGAGGAAGACCAGUGGCGAAGGCGGAUCUCUGGACAGCUCCUGACGCUGAGGCGCGAAGGCUAGGGGAGCAAACGGG
rnacentral:rRNA from 1 species